AAGGCCAGGCUGAAGACUUUGCCGGAUUAGCUGAGAGGUGGUGCAUGGCCGUCGUCAGUUCGUACUGUGAAGCAUCCUGUUAAGUCAGGCAACGAGCGAGACCCACGCCCACAGUUGCCAGCGUACUCUCUGGAGUGACGGGUACACUGUGAGGACCGCCGCUGCUAAAGCGGAGGAAGGAAUGGGCAACGGUAGGUCAGUAUGCCCCCGAAUAUCCCGGGCUACACGCGAGCUACAAUGGUUGGUACAAUGGGUAUCUACCCCGAAAGGGGACGGGAAUCUCCUAAAACCAAUCUUAGUUCGGAUUGAGGGCUGCAACUCGCCCUCAUGAAGCUGGAAUCCGUAGUAAUCGCGUUUCAACAGAACGCGGUGAAUACGUCCCUGCUCCUU
rnacentral:rRNA from 1 species